rnacentral:rRNA from 1 species
GCUUGCUAGGAGGCGUCGAGCGGCGGACGGGUGAGUAAUGCAUAGGAAUCUGCCCGGUAGUGGGGGAUAACCUGAGGAAACUCAGGCUAAUACCGCAUACGUCCUACGGGAGAAAGCAGGGGCUCUUCGGACCUUGCGCUAUCGGAUGAGCUUAUGUCGGAUUAGCUGGUUGGUGAGGUAACGGCUCACCAAGGCGACGAUCCGUAGCUGGUCUGAGAGGAUGAUCAGCCACAUCGGGACUGAGACACGGCCCGAACUCCUACGGGAGGCAGCAGUGGGGAAUAUUGGACAAUGGGGGCAACCCUGAUCCAGCCAUGCCGCGUGUGUGAAGAAGGCCCUCGGGUUGUAAAGCACUUUCAGUGAGGAAGAAGGCUUGUCGGUUAAUACCCGGCAAGAAAGACAUCACUCACAGAAGAAGCACCGGCUAACUCCGUGCCAGCAGCCGCGGUAAUACGGAGGGUGCGAGCGUUAAUCGGAAUUACUGGGCGUAAAGCGUGCGUAGGCGGCUUGAUAAGCCGGUUGUGAAAGCCCCGGGCUCAACCUGGGAACGGCAUCCGGAACUGUCAGGCUAGAGUGCAGGAGAGGAAGGUAGAAUUCCCGGUGUAGCGGUGAAAUGCGUAGAGAUCGGGAGGAAUACCAGUGGCGAAGGCGGCCUUCUGGACUGACACUGACGCUGAGGUACGAAAGCGUGGGUAGCAAACAGGAUUAGAUACCCUGGUAGUCCACGCCGUAAACGAUGUCGACUAGCCGUUGGGGUCCUCGAGACCUUUGUGGCGCAGUU